rnacentral:rRNA from 1 species
AUUGAACGCUGGCGGCAGGCCUAACACAUGCAAGUCGAACGAGUGGCGGACGGGUGAGUAAUGUCUGGGAAACUGCCUGAUGGAGGGGGAUAACUACUGGAAACGGUAGCUAAUACCGCAUACCAUCGGAUGUGCCCAGAUGGGAUUAGCUAGUAGGUGGGGUAAAGGCUCAACUAGGCGACGCUCCGUAGCUGGUCUGAGAGGAUGACCAGCCACACUGGAACGUAUACACGGUCCAGACUCCUGCGGGAGGCAGCAGUGGGGAAUAUUGCACAAUGGGCGCAAGCCUGAUGCAGCCAUGCCGCGUGUAGGAAGAAGGCCGUCGGGUUGUAAAGUACUUUCAGCGGGGAGGCGUUACCCGCAGAAGAAGCACCGGCUAACUCCGUGCCAGCCGCCGCGGUAAUAC